GCCAGGCGUGGUGACGGGCGCCUGUAGUCCCAGCUACUUGGGAGGCUGAGGCAGGAGAAUCGCUUGAACCCGGGAAGCAGAAGCUGCAGUGAGCCGAGAUCGUGCCACUGCACUCCAGCCUGGGUGACAGAGUGAGACUCUGUCUCAA
rfam:Chlorocebus sabaeus isolate 1994-021 chromosome 22, whole genome shotgun sequence.